UUGGAGGAUUUGAAAACUUUAACUUGUUGACUUGAAGGAUUUGAAGACUUCAACUUACAUACUUGGAGGAUUUGAAAAAGCAACU
rnacentral:pre_miRNA from 1 species